rnacentral:rRNA from 1 species
UACGUAGGGUGCAAGCGUUGUCCGGAAUUACUGGGCGUAAAGAGCUCGUAGGCGGUUUGUCGCGUCGUCUGUGAAAUCCCGCAGCUCAACUGCGGGCUUGCAGGCGAUACGGGCAGACUUGAGUACUGCAGGGGAGACUGGAAUUCCUGGUGUAGCGGUGAAAUGCGCAGAUAUCAGGAGGAACACCGGUGGCGAAGGCGGGUCUCUGGGCAGUAACUGACGCUGAGGAGCGAAAGCGUGGGUAGCAAACAGG